rnacentral:rRNA from 1 species
GACGAACGCUGGCGGCGUGCCUAAUACAUGCAAGUCGAACGCUGAAGGAGGAGCUUGCUCUUCUGGAUGAGUUGCGAACGGGUGAGUAACGCGUAGGUAACCUGCCUGGUAGCGGGGGAUAACUAUUGGAAACGAUAGCUAAUACCGCAUAAUAGUAGAUGUUGCAUGAUAUUUACUUAAAAGGUGCAAUUGCACCACUACCAGAUGGACCUGCGUUGUAUUAGCUAGUUGGUGGGGUAACGGCUCACCAAGGCGACGAUACAUAGCCGACCUGAGAGGGUGAUCGGCCACACUGGGACUGGGACACGGCCAAGACUCCUACGGAGGCAGCAGUAGGGAAUCUUCGGCAAUGGACGAAAGUCUGACCGAGCAACGCCGCGGGAGUGAAGAAGGUUUUCGGAUCGUAAAGCUCUGUUGUAAGAGAAGAACGAGUGUGAGAGUGGAAAGUUCACACUGUGACGGUAUCUUACCAGAAAGGGACGGCUAACUACGUG